rnacentral:rRNA from 1 species
GACGAACGCUGGCGGCGUGCCUAAUACAUGCAAGUAGAACGCUGAAGGAGGAGCUUGCUCUUCUGGAUGAGUUGCGAACGGGUGAGUAACGCGUAGGUAACCUGCCUGGUAGCGGGGGAUAACUAUUGGAAACGAUAGCUAAUACCGCAUAAUAGUAGAUGUUGCAUGACAUUUGCUUAAAAGGUGCAAUUGCAUCACUACCAGAUGGACCUGCGUUGUAUUAGCUAGUUGGUGAGGUAACGGCUCACCAAGGCAACGAUACAUAGCCGACCUGAGAGGGUGAUCGGCCACACUGGGACUGAGACACGGCCCAGACUCCUACGGGAGGCAGCAGUAGGGAAUCUUCGGCAAUGGACGGAAGUCUGACCGAGCAACGCCGCGUGAGUGAAGAAGGUUUUCGGAUCGUAAAGCUCUGUUGUAAGAUAAGAACGAGU